rnacentral:rRNA from 1 species
UACCUACGGGGGGCAGCAGUGGGGAAUAUUGCACAAUGGGGGAAACCCUGAUGCAGCGACGCCGCGUGAGUGAAGAAGUAUUUCGGUAUGUAAAGCUCUAUCAGCAGGGAAGAUAAUGACGGUACCUGACUAAGAAGCCCCGGCUAACUACGUGCCAGCAGCCGCGGUAAUACGUAGGGGGCAAGCGUUAUCCGGAAUUACUGGGUGUAAAGGGAGCGUAGACGGUAAUGCAAGUCUGGAGCGAAAGGCGGGGGCCCAACCCCCGGACUGCUCUGGAAACUGGGUAACUGGAGUGCAGGAGAGGG